CCCAACAUCGGUUGCUCCCUCACGCCGCCCGCACUCCGCAUCUCGUCACGCCUGGACACCCUGUGCUUCACAGCGGCCGCCCCACGCCCCGAUGGCCGCCGCUGCUCCUGGACGCCCGACGGAGAGGCGGAGCCGGAGCCAUCGACAGUGAGCCGGAGGCCUACACCCGAACACGUAGACACCUGCCGACGACAGCCUCCAUCGGAUCUGGUUCCUCUUCUCUCCUCCCCUCCCUCUUUUCUUCCUUCUUUUUUUCUCUAGCGUGCUCCCUCUCGAGUCUUGUCUCCCCAGUCGCCGCUCGUGCCCCGCAUUGCUCCCUCUCUCUCGUCGGUCACCAGCGUAGCAGCGACAAUGUGCGAGGCACCGUAGCGAGUCGGAGCCCUCCACGCCGACACCCUCCCAGUCGGCGCCUGCAAGGCGGCGCCUCCAGGAGACCAAGACAUCGCCCGCAUGGCUGCUCCUAGAGCACCUGCUGGCUGCUAUCUUGCCGGCGGUGAGAAGGAGCCUGACGACGCUCUCCAUCUGGAUCUGCUGAAGAAGGGCUAGAACGGGGGCAAUGCUACGUAAUAGCAAUGGAGCUAUUGAAGCACGCGGCUUGCCAGAGAUACGAAGGGGUCUCGGACAUGUUGCAUGAAGCCAGAGAUCUUAGUUCUUUUUUCACACUGUUUUGUAUUUCGUUUAAAGGGCGAGAGGCUAAUGUUUCAGCACAUGAAUGUGCUAGAUAUGCUUGUAAUACUGAUAGGUCAGUUUGGCAGGGGACUUAUCCCCGGCUUCUGCUCCGGAACCACAGAUAACUAAAACUCUCAUCCUCUACUUAAAAAAAAAAGGUUGUGUCCGA